rnacentral:tmRNA from 1 species
GGGGACGUUACGGAUUCGACAGGGGUAGAUCGAGCUUAAGCUGCGAGCCGAGGGGAUCGUCCUCGUAAAACGUCACUUAAAGAUAACUGGCAAAGAAAACUACGCUUUAGCUGCUUAAUUAACGCGGCUAACUCCUACCGCCAUCGUCCAUGUGGCGGCCUAGGGGUUCAUACCAAGUGGGCUACGCCUAAGUCCGCCGUCUGAGGACGAGGGAAGAGAUCAAUCAGACUAGCUGCUCGGAUGCCUGUCGGUAGGCGGAAGAAGCGGUGAAAUAAAAAUAUACCGACUACGCUCGUAGACGCUUAAGUGGCGAUAUCUCUGGACGUGGGUUCGACUCCCACCGUCUCCAUAC